rnacentral:rRNA from 1 species
UAGAGUUUGAUCCUGGCUCAGAUUGAACGCUAGCGGGAUGCUUUACACAUGCAAGUCGAACGGCAGCACGAGAGAGCUUGCUCUCUUGGUGGCGAGUGGCGGACGGGUGAGUAAUAUAUCGGAACGUGCCUAGUAGCGGGGGAUAACUACUCGAAAGAGUGGCUAAUACCGCAUACGCCCUACGGGGGAAAGGGGGGGAUCGCAAGACCUCUCACUAUUAGAGCGGCCGAUAUCGGAUUAGCUAGUUGGUGGGGUAAAGGCUCACCAAGGCAACGAUCCGUAGCUGGUUUGAGAGGACGACCAGCCACACUGGGACUGAGACACGGCCCAGACUCCUACGGGAGGCAGCAGUGGGGAAUUUUGGACAAUGGGGGAAACCCUGAUCCAGCCAUCCCGCGUGUAUGAUGAAGGCCUUCGGGUUGUAAAGUACUUUUGGCAGAGAAGAAAAGGUACCUCCUAAUACGAGGUACUGCUGACGGUAUCUGCAGAAUAAGCACCGGCUAACUACGUGCCAGCAGCCGCGGUAAUACGUAGGGUGCAAGCGUUAAUCGGAAUUACUGGGCGUAAAGCGUGUGUAGGCGGUUCGGAAAGAAAGAUGUGAAAUCCCAGGGCUUAACCUUGGAACUGCAUUUUUAACUGCCGAGCUAGAGUAUGUCAGAGGGGGGUAGAAUUCCACGUGUAGCAGUGAAAUGCGUAGAUAUGUGGAGGAAUACCGAUGGCGAAGGCAGCCCCCUGGGAUAAUACUGACGCUCAGACACGAAAGCGUGGGGAGCAAACAGGAUUAGAUACCCUGGUAGUCCACGCCCUAAACGAUGUCAACUAGCUGUUGGGGCCGUUAGGCCUUAGUAGCGCAGCUAACGCGUGAAGUUGACCGCCUGGGGAGUACGGUCGCAAGAUUAAAACUCAAAGGAAUUGACGGGGACCCGCACAAGCGGUGGAUGAUGUGGAUUAAUUCGAUGCAACGCGAAAAACCUUACCUACCCUUGACAUGUCUGGAAUCCCGAAGAGAUUUGGGAGUGCUCGCAAGAGAACCGGAACACAGGUGCUGCAUGGCUGUCGUCAGCUCGUGUCGUGAGAUGUUGGGUUAAGUCCCGCAACGAGCGCAACCCUUGUCAUUAGUUGCUACGCAAGAGCACUCUAAUGAGACUGCCGGUGACAAACCGGAGGAAGGUGGGGAUGACGUCAAGUCCUCAUGGCCCUUAUGGGUAGGGCUUCACACGUCAUACAAUGGUCGGGACAGAGGGUCGCCAACCCGCGAGGGGGAGCCAAUCUCAGAAACCCGAUCGUAGUCCGGAUCGCAGUCUGCAACUCGACUGCGUGAAGUCGGAAUCGCUAGUAAUCGCGGAUCAGAAUGUCGCGGUGAAUACGUUCCCGGGUCUUGUACACACCGCCCGUCACACCAUGGGAGUGGGUUUCACCAGAAGUAGGUAGCCUAACCGUAAGGAGGGCGCUUACCACGGUGGGAUUCAUGACUGGGGUGAAGUCGUAACAAGGGUAACCA